CGAGCAGGGGGCCUCGGUUCCCAGACUGGGUAGUCAGCUCAGGAUAGGGAUAGGGCUGUCAUAUCAGAACCCCUGCUCCCAUCAUUUCUCAGCUCCUACAUGCAGAAGUACACAUUCACUAAGUAGGCCAAGGCAGCUACACAUUUUCCCUAUCCUUAACAGAUGAUUUUAGAAUAUGUCCUUCUUUUUCUGUUAUUUCAUUUCCAGAGUAUGAGAGCAUAAAGGUGAUGUAAAAGGACAUUCCUCAAAUUACCCUGAGAGGAUUUUGUUAACAGCAACCAACCACACUGAAGAGAUAAAAACAAAUACUCAGUGAUGUCUGCCUGAUGAUAUUCUGCUUCUACUAGCAUGUGAAAUGAGAGGUGGAAGGAAUUAACCUAGAAGAGGAGGAAUGACAGCAGAUGAGAAAUGAAGCAAAGCUACACGUACUCAGGCUUAGCUAGCAGCAUACGUUGGCUGAGAAUUAAAGAGGGACGUGGGCAUUUCAGAAAGCUUGGCAAUAUAAAAUCUGAAACUUUGUCACCCAUCUCUUUAGGGAGUGGGGUUCAAAAUGUGGGAGUAAGUGCUCAGAUACCUUACAUACUAGAUAAGAGAAAUUAAAUGUCUGGAUUGUAAUACCCAACAGGAAGCCCCAGGUAUGUAUAAAAUCCUCUCUCAGUGUGGACCAAGAUACUUGUGUAAGAUUCAGUAUCUCUGUGAAGCUAGAAUUAAGAAAUAGGCUUAGGAAGCCAGAGCCUAUUUCUGUUAAACUGUCUGUGAUAAUGGAGGGAUUUUGUCUAUAUCUGUACUACUUAGUAAAAUAGCCAAGAACAGCCAUUUGACCAGAAGAGCAUGAGGCAUGUCAUAACCUGAAUAUUGUUGGCUGACCUCUUUUAUCACGUAUUUUUUUUCUGGAAAAACCGAAAACCAACCUAUUUUAACUAUUGGAAAACACAUCUGGAUUAUUUUAGACUUAAGCAUAAGGAAUCUUGGCCAAAAGGUGUCAGGGAACAUGCUAACACAUAAUGGGUACAGAUAAUUAAGGCCAAAUGCAUACCAGACCCAUCCAAUCUGUUUUUGUAAAUACAUCCAAAAUACUUGGCAAGGGAAUAGGAGAUCUGUUUUUGGAAAAUACUCAGCAAACAGGGAUUUAAACUCUGUUCAAAACUCAACAAGAGGAUAAUAGCUAAAAGGCAGUCAGGCUUUCUUGUGUUUGGUGCUUGAUGUUGCAUACAAAGCAGUGUGAAAUAUAUAGUCACAGAGACUCAAAAGGAGAUCAGGGGAAAGAAGAUCAAACUCUCCAGCUAGAACACCCAACUGGAAGGCUGCCUGAGUCACUGGCUGCAGCUUACUAUCACUUACCUGUUCAAGUAAGGGAACAAGAUACUAGGGAGCGAGGGCAUAGGGUGUACCAUGAUGUCAAGUUUCAGGAGUGCUGUCUGCUGAGGUGCUCCAUGACCAGAGUGGCCAGAAAUGGACUCCAACAGUAGGGUGUAGGAGCACCCAAAGAUGCUGUCAGGACAUGCGGGACCCAAGACGUGAUACAGAUUUUUGACUCUUCCAAGGAGCUUCAGCUGAAAAUCAAACUCAAGUCCUCAGUUAGUAUAGAAGUUGUAAUGCUGCAGUUUGUGUCUCUGAUGAACUUACAGGUAUCACUGGAGGAAUGAGUUCAAGUAAAUGUAACUUCAUAUACACAAAACCAGCUCAGCCACUUUCAGACAGAAAUAGCACUGCCUCAGCAGUACAUCACAUCAGUGUUCUGCUAUCUAGAAUGGACUAAUUUUAUAAAAGGUUGUCAUAAAAAUUAUACAGGUGCUAUUGUUUCCAUCUGUGAUUCACUUAAGUGGCAAGCAGUCUGAUUCAUCUGUUCAUGUCAACAGAAAGAUUUGCAAUGACUUCAAAAAGAAUUGGAAUAAGCACCAACUCAAGCAAACCAGAGGCUGGCUAUAUGUUCAAAUCUUGGCUGUGUACUUUUAAAACAAGGUAAUGUCACCCUAGUUUUCACCUGCAACUGAGCUAGGCUGGCAGAACAUGGAGGUGUUUAAACUUUAUUUGUAUCUGUGGACAUCCGUAUCUCUGUAUACAAUCCUUUAAUGUUUUCUUCAAACUAAAUUACUCUGAAAUUUCCCAGGAUGUCUCAGUGAGGUAUCAAGUAUUUUUAGGUAUGUACAUAAUCCAGUCAUGUUUCCAGCAAUGUUCUGCCAACCUCUUUUCCAUGAAGGGGUAUUCUUGUGGUGACCAUAUUCUCUCAGAUGCUUCCCUGUCCAAAGUGUCUAAAAAUUAAAGUGUUAGGAGAGGCAAACUUGUACCCUUUCUUCUCAUGGAAAGCUGUGAUGUAUGCAAGCACUAAUUACUAAAAGUGCACAGAAAUUGGAAUAAUAGGAACUACAGAAAUUCCUUUCUGCCUGGAGGUUUCUUCUCUUCAGAGACGAAUUUGACUAAUCCAGAAAGUUUCAUGCUGGCAAAUGAGACUAGAGCUAGAGCCCUCCUCUCAUGGUGGCUGAUGCUUGUAUCUGGAAUAAAAUGGCAGUUCAUUGGUUCUAA